GUAGGUGGCAAGCGUUGUCCGGAAUUAUUGGGCGUAAAGCGCGCGCAGGCGGUUCUUUAAGUCUGAUGUAAAAGCCCACGGCUCAACCGUGGAGGGUCAUUGGAAACUGGAGAACUUGAGUACAGAAGAGGAAAGCGGAAUUCCACGUGUAGCGGUGAAAGGCGUAGAGAUGUGGAGGAACACCAGUGGCGAAGGCGGCUUUCUGGUCUGUAACUGACGCUGAGGCGCGAAAGCGUGGGGAGCAAACAGGGAUUAGAUACCCUGGUAGUCCACGCCGUAAACGAUGAGUGCUAAGUGUUAGGGGGUUUCCCGCCCCUUAGUGCUGCAGCUAACGCAUUAAGCACUCCGCCUGGGGAGUACGCCGCAAGGCUG
rnacentral:rRNA from 1 species